rnacentral:rRNA from 1 species
GGGUUGUGAGGUUAAGCGACUAAGCGUACACGGUGGAUGCCCUGGCAGUCAGAGGCGAUGAAGGGCGUGCUAAUCUGCGAUAAGCGCCGGUAAGGUGAUAUGAACCGUUAUAACCGGCGAUACCCGAAUGGGGAAACCCAGUGUGAUUCGUCACACUAUCAUUAACUGAAUCCAUAGGUUAAUGAGGCGAACCGGGGGAACUGAAACAUCUAAGUACCCCGAGGAAAAGAAAUCAACCGAGAUUCCCCCAGUAGCGGCGAGCGAACGGGGAGGAGCCCAGAGCCUGAAUCAGCAUGUGUGUUAGUGGAAGCGUCUGGAAAGGCGCGCGAUACAGGGUGACAGCCCCGUACACAAAAGCGCAUGUGCUGUGAGCUCGAUGAGUAGGGCGGGACACGUGGUAUCCUGUCUGAAUAUGGGGGGACCAUCCUCCAAGGCUAAAUACUCCUGACUGACCGAUAGUGAACCAGUACCGUGAGGGAAAGGCGAAAAGAACCCCGGCGAGGGGAGUGAAAAAGAACCUGAAACCGUGUACGUACAAGCAGUGGGAGCACCCUUUGGGUGUGACUGCGUA